CUACGUGCCAGCAGCCGCGGUAAUACGGAGGGUGCGAGCGUUAAUCGGAAUAACUGGGCGUAAAGGGCACGCAGGCGGUGACUUAAGUGAGGUGUGAAAGCCCCGGGCUUAACCUGGGAAUUGCAUUUCAUACUGGGUCGCUAGAGUACUUUAGGGAGGGGUAGAAUUCCACGUGUAGCGGUGAAAUGCGUAGAGAUGUGGAGGAAUACCGAAGGCGAAGGCAGCCCCUUGGGAAUGUACUGACGCUCAUGUGCGAAAGCGUGGGGAGCAAACAGGAUUAGAUACCCUGGUAGUCCACGCUGUAAACGAUGUCGAUUUGGGGGUUGAGCUUUGAGCUUGGCGCCCGUAGCUAACGUGAUAAAUCGACCGCCUGGGGAGUACGGCCGCAAGGUUAAAACUCAAAUGAAUUGACGGGGGCCCGCACAAGCGGUGGAGCAUGUGGUUUAAUUCGAUGCAACGCGAAGAACCUUACCUACUCUUGACA
rnacentral:rRNA from 1 species